CCUACGGGAGGCAGCAGUGAGGAAUAUUGGUCAAUGGGCGGAAGCCUGAACCAGCCAAGUAGCGUGCAGGAUGACGGCCCUACGGGUUGUAAACCGCUUUUAUACGGGAAUAACGCGCCUUACGUGUAGGGCUUUGCAUGUACCGUAUGAAUAAGGACCGGGUAAUUCCGUGCCAGCAGCCGCGGUAAUACGGAAGGUCCGGGCGUUAUCCGGAUUUAUUGGGGUUAAGGGGUGCGUAGGCCGCAUGUCAAGCGUGAUGUGAAAUGUCCGGGCUCAACCCGUGCCUUGCAGCGCGAACUGGGGUGCUUGAGUCCGCGGAAGGCAGGCGGAAUUCGUGGUGUAGCGGUGAAAUGCUUAGAUAUGAAGAAGAACACCGAUUGCGAAGGCAGCUUGCUGGAGCGGAACUGACGCUGAUGCUCGAAAGCGCGGGUAUCGAACAGGAUUAGAUACCCUUGUAGUC
rnacentral:rRNA from 1 species